rnacentral:rRNA from 1 species
CCAGACAGCCAGGAGGUUGGCUUAGAAGCAGCCAUCCUUUAAAGAAAGCGUAAUAGCUCACUGGUCGAGUCGGCCUGCGCGGAAGAUUUACCGGGGCUUAAGCCAUGUACCGAAGCUGCGGCUGCGUGCAAGCGCAGGGUAGGGGAGCGUUCCGUAAGCCGAUGAAGGCGUACUGUAAGGUGCGCUGGAGGUAUCGGAAGUGCGAAUGCUGACAUAAGUAACGAUCAUGCGGGUGAAAAACCCGCACGCCGCAAGCCCAAGGGUUCCUGCGCAACGUUAAUCGGCGCAGGGUGAGUCGGUCCCUAAGGCGAGGCCGAAAGGCGUAGUCGAUGGGAAACCGGUCAACAGUCCGGUACUGACGGAGGCUGCGAUGAGGGGACGGAGAAGGCUAUGCCAGCCGGCGAUUGGUAGUGCCGGUUCAAAGACGUAGGAAGAAUCGCCAGGCAAAUCCGGCGGUUCAAUUCCGAGAUCUGAUGACGAGGUCAUUUGACCGAAGUGACAAAUGCCCGGCUCCCAAG